rnacentral:rRNA from 1 species
AGAGUUUGAUCCUGGCUCAGAACGAACGCUGGCGGCGCGCCUAAUACAUGCAAGUCGAGCGAGAAGACGUAGCAAUACGUUUGUAAAGCGGCGAACGGGUGAGGAAUACAUGGGUAACCUACCCUCGAGUGGGGAAUAACUAGCCGAAAGGUUAGCUAAUACCGCAUACGACUCUUGGUCUGCGGAUCAAGAGAGAAAGCGAUACCGUGGGUAUCGCGCUCCUGGAUGGGCUCAUGUCCUAUCAGCUUGUUGGUGAGGUAACGGCUCACCAAGGCUUCGACGGGUAGCUGGUCUGAGAGGACGAUCAGCCACACUGGCACUGCGACACGGGCCAGACUCCUACGGGAGGCAGCAGUAAGGAAUAUUGCGCAAUGGGCGACAGCCUGACGCAGCGACGCCGCGUGGGGGAUGAAGGUCUUCGGAUUGUAAACCCCUUUCGGCAGGGAAGAUGGAACGGGUAACCGUUCGGACGGUACCUGCAGAAGCAGCCACGGCUAACUUCGUGCCAGCAGCCGCGGUAAUACGAAGGUGGCAAGCGUUGUUCGGAUUUACUGGGCGUACAGGGAGCGUAGGCGGUUGGGUAAGCCCUUCGUGAAAUCUCCGGGCCUAACCCGGAAAGUGCGGAGGGGACUGCUCGGCUAGAGGAUGGGAGAGGAGCGCGGAAUUCCCGGUGUAGCGGUGAAAUGCGUAGAGAUCGGGAGGAAGGCC